ACUCUUGCGAACCCCACAGCCACGUGAUCGGCACCCAGGCAAAGACGAAGGAUGUCGUCAGCCCCACGAGGGCGCCCCAACGUUCCUCCCUUCUGCCCCACGGCCCCCAUGGCUCCGACUUCCACGGUAUUCUGUGUCCGGGGAGUACUUUUUGGUAAUAAGCUUUAUCUUGUCCUUCAUUUCUAAAAUUUACAUGGCGCAGUUUUCACUAUCCUGGGUGAGGAGUUCUACGUUUCGACAAAGGUACAGAGUCGUGGAAAUCGCCACCCGCACCGUGGCCAGAACGUGGCUCCAUCCUGAGAAUCUCCCUCCAGGUGCUUCCUCCUGGGUCUUCGGACCCUCACCCCGAACCCAGUCCCCGGAAACCGCUGAUCGCCGUGGCUGAUUUUUAGGAUAUUUUCCGGGAUGUCGUAUCAAGACAAGCCUAUCCGUAGGGAGGAUUCAGGUUGGCUUCUCUCCCUUAGCGUUUGAGGUUCACGCCUACAGGCGGGACGUCCCAGGCCUCCUCUGACUGCCAGCGACAUUCCUCCACAGAAGACGGGGCGCUGUUUCCCGAGCGAGGGGACCGUGAACACGGCUGCUACAGACACACGUGCUCGUGUCUCCAGGAUAAAUCCCUCGAGGUGGGAUUCGCGGGGCCAGGGUCUGCAAGGCCCCGAGGACAGCUUCCCAAAGCCGCCGCCCCACUGUGCAGGCAGCCUCGACGGAUGACACACCCAGUUGCUCCGCGUCCCCUUCAACACGUGGUGCUGUCCCUAGUUUUCCUCCGAGCCAUUCUGAGAUGUGUGUGAGGGUGUCUCCUUGGGGAGUUAGUGCGCUUCCCCCGACAGUGUCUGGGCGCCGUCCGUGUAACCCUCUCGGGGAAGGAUCUGGUCACAUAACUUACCGUUUCUUUUAGUGCCUUGUUUUCUUUUUCUUUUUUUUUUUUUUAUUCAUUCAACAGAGACAGAGACAGCCAGCGAGAGAGGGAACACAAGCAGGGGGAGUGGGAGAGGAAGAAGCAGGCUCAUUGCGGAGGAGCCUGAUGUGGGGCUCGAUCCCAGAACGCCGGGAUCACGCCCUGAGCCGAAGGCAGACGCUUAACCGCUGUGCCACCCAGGCGCCCCUAGUGCCUUGUUUUCUUAUGACCGCGUUUGGAAAAUUUUUCUGUAGUCUGGACACAAGUCCUUUAUUGGCCCUCACACUCUGCGCUGUGUAUCUCGCGCACUCCCAGGAGGACCGUCGCACCCGCUGGUGAACCGAUUCUCUUAGAAGACUUGCACAAGGUGAACCCUGCACCGUCUGGUUUCUGUCUCUGCGUCCGCGUUGUGUCCGCCACACAACACACUGCCGCGUGAGGCUGUAAGUCCUCCAUCCCCACGGCCGCUCGGGGUUCCAUUCGUUCGUUUCUCUGACCAGCACUUUACACCUGUGGUGUGCAGCGGCCGGACUUUGUGCCAGUCGCAGGUGUGCAGCAUACGGCCCGGGGCUGGGCUACAUUGUGAAAUGAUCACCACAAUGGGGUCCAGCUGACGCCUGGACCCCGUGUAGUCACACCUUGUUUUCCUGUGAUGAGAACUCCUGAGAUCAACUGUCAGCAACGCUCAGACAUGUGGAGUGCGGUCCCCGUGCUGCGCUCUCCUCGAGCACCGCCGACGGCGUCUGGGGGACUCCAGCUCGGGGCUGCGCUGAGCAAGGCGGCUGUGGGUGUUGGGCACACGCCGUUGGGUGCCGUCUGCCUGACUUUCUGUGGGUAAAUAGCUGCAUGCGGAGGCGCCAGGCUAUGAGGUGUGUCCCAGAUGCUCUCUUCUGCCAAAGUGCACGCACCAAUUUACCCACCCCGCUAGCUCCGGUGAGUUCUCGUGGGCUGCGUCUGUCCCCCCGUCUCCUUUAUUCAACAACGACAUGCUCCUUGCUUCUUCUCUGGUAUUAGGAACGUCCUUGCCGCCUGGGGCGCCUUGGUGGCUCAGUGGGUUGGGCAUCCGACUCUUGGUUUCAGCUCAGGCCAUGAUCUCGGGUUCCUGGGAUCAAGCCCCACCAGGGGCUCUGCACUCAGCAGGGAGUGUGCUUGGGAUUCUCUCUCCCUCUCCUUCUGCACCCCCCACUUGCGCACGCGCUCUCUCUAAAAUAAAUAAAUCUUAUAAAAAUGUCUUUUCUGUGUAAUGAGGAACAGGACGUUCACGUCAUUUCCCGGGACCUCCAGCUCCCCAGAGGCUGGGAGUGCUGGCUGCUGAGGGCCGUGGCUGUCCCUCCCUGGACCCUGCCCGUGGCCACACCUAAGGUCAUGCCUACCCCAGGAUUGGCCCAAAGGCAAGGCUGGGACACCAGGUUUGUGCUUGGUGAAUCACUUACUUGGAUAAGACAAAGUCUCCAUGCCUCGAUGCCACGGCUUCGUUUAUAUCCAAAAGAAUGAAAAGCGGAACUCGGGGACUCGCUGAGCUGUGCUCGUAGCAGCAGCCGAAGCGCGGAAGAAACCCAGGUGUCCAUGGACAGGUCAGCGGGGCAGGCUUCGUGGGCGUGGGAACCCGGCUCUGCAGGUUUUCCGACUUGAAAUUCCCCUUAGGUUUGAACAAAGGCCCUGUGUUGUCAUUUAGCCCCUGCCUGCGCCUAGCUGGACAGGCCGCGGCUGCUGCCCAAGUCCCGCAACGGCUGGCCUACCGUCAGGGCAGGGGGCUGGCCACUCGGUGCCUUGGUCUCCCUGUUAGAGCGGGAGGAGAGGCCCUCUCCCGGAAAAACGCGCGUUAGGGCUGCAGGUGGGCGGAGAAGGCCGGAGAGUUGGCGAGCGGCACCUGCUGGACGCGGGGGGCAUGACGUCCAGGUGGCCGGCAGCCUGGCGGGGCCGCCUCCUCCCCGCCGCCCACUUCCCGGAUGCUGCCCCCUCCUCUGCCUCCACCGGGUCAGCCCCCAUCACGCCCGCCAGGACCAGCGCUGUCCCCUCCGCUCCGGAUCCCCGGCUCCCGCCCUCGCCCCCCGUCCGGCUUCCCCGAAGCGGCCACCAGAGGGCGCCCAUGAACAUCCGAGUCAGGUCCCGCCCGGCUCUGCCCGCAGCCCUCCAGGGUUCCUAGGUCCCAGGAGGAAAAGCUCAAGUCCUCCCUGCGCGGUCCCCUAGGCCCUGCACGACCUGCUCCUGUCCCCUCCGCCAGCCCUCCCCGCCUCCCUCUCUACCCCUGGCUCACUCUGCUCCACCCACACGGGCCCCCUGGCUGUUCCUCCAAUAAAAAAGUCCACUGCUGCCCCAGGACCUUUGCAUAGGCUGUGCCCGCUGCCUGAACGCCCUUCCCUCAUGUCACUAUUGUUACCCAUCCUGCCUUGCUACUCUACUCUUCUUCACUGAUUAAGUCCUGGUGAUACGCACCACCUCCUUUGCCAUAACCGCAGUGCCCGGGACAGUGCCCGGCACCGUGGGCCUUCAAGGAGUAACCCACUGACAAACAGAAGGUGCAAAAAUUGAAACCCUCGUGCACUGCUGGUGGGAGUGCGAAAUGGGGCAGACACUGUGGGAAAGGGGCUGGUGGCUCUUCCAAAGUGAAACAGAGAACUACCAUUUGACCCAGCAAUACCACUUGUGUCUAUAGCCAACAGAACUGGAAGCAGGGUCUCA